rnacentral:rRNA from 1 species
CUACGGGUCGCACCAGUGAGGAAUAUUGCACAAUGGGGGGAACCCUGAUGCAGCAACGCCGCGUGGAGGAUGACGCAUUUCGGUGUGUAAACUCCUUUUAUAUGUCAAGAAAAUGACGGUAGCAUAUGAACAAGCACCGGCUAACUCCGUGCCAGCAGCCGCGGUAAUACGGAGGGUGCAAGCGUUACUCGGGAUCACUGGGCGUAAAGGACGCGUAGGCGGGUUGGAAAGUCAGGUGUGAAAUCCUACAGCUUAACUGUAGAACUGCACUUGAAACUUCUAAUCUAGAGUAUGGGAGGGGGAGAUGGAAUUAGUGGUGUAGGGGUAAAAUCCGUAGAUAUCACUAGGAAUACCUAAAGCGAAGGCGAUCUCCUGGAACAUUACUGACGCUAAGGCGUGAAAGCGUGGGGAGCAAACAGGAUUAGAUACCCCCGUAGUC